CAGAGAGGGGGCCACCUGAGAAAACAGCAGUCCGGUUAGGUUAGGCUCUAACAGUGCCAGGUAAACUGGCUGGUGGUGAUUCACAGGCGCUGGGAUUAGUACUGUACUUCCCUCCCUGCCGCAGACCGCUUGCUUUGGUGCUCAGAGCUCCUCCAGGGCAGGAGUCUUGCCGUUUCCACCUCAGUGCUACAAGUAUCCGGCACCCGAUGCUGCCAAGGUUAGCGGGGCGCGGCACUACCAAGCCUGCCUGGUGGUGUCAGACGCAGGGUCCAGUCUGACCGGCCGCAGCCCGCUCGCUCUAGCUUCUUGCAGUGUUUGCAGCCAGAUCAGCGAGG